rnacentral:rRNA from 1 species
UACAGAGGUCCCAAGCGUUGUUCGGAUUCAUUGGGCGUAAAGGGUGCGUAGGCGGCGCGGUAAGUCGGGUGUGAAAUCUCGGAGCUUAACUCCGAAACUGCAUUCGAUACUGCCGUGCUUGAGGACUGGAGAGGAGACUGGAAUUUACGGUGUAGCGGUGAAAUGCGUAGAUAUCGUAAGGAAGACCAGUGGCGAAGGCGGGGUCUCU